rnacentral:piRNA from 1 species
UCACUUUACAUUACAACCGAA